ensembl:lncRNA
GUGUGUGUGUGUGUGUGUGUGUGUGUGUGUGUGCUCCACUCCAAACUGGUUAUCUUUAGUCAUCGACCAUUCCUGAAUUUCCCUUCGGGGUUUAAUAAAACGUUAUCUAAUCUUUUAAUACUGCAUGAUGCAUUCAUGGCUGCCGAGGAGCCGUUGUUUCAGUUUGACAGUAACCAUGCAUCUUCUAAGCAGGGCAUCUCCAUCAUAACACCAUUAAUAACCCAUAGAGACAGAGAUAACCACCCUAUGGUACGUUCCUGAACAGACAGUCCAAUCAUCUUGUGUUUGUAAUGUACACAAUGGUGUUACGCUCAGCAUUCCUGGAGGCAGUGGUGCCUAUAGCAGCUAUCUCAGGAGCCGCUCGAUAAGCCCUUCUCUGCGUCUGUCGCUGAAGUGGUCAACACAUGACGAUGUGCUCCGACAGGUCAGUGAUAAGCGGGGUCAAAGUUGAAAUAAUUAGAACUUCGAGCGCAGCGUCAAGGUGGAGGGUCCGGGUGGUCCGCCCCACGCCGGGGUUGCGUCAACGUCUCAGCGCUCAGCUCCGUACGAAUACUCUGCAGCGCUGAGCCACAACAACAGCGGAGGCAGUUCACGCGUUGACCGUGCUCAGCACCGCAGAGCGAGGAGGGAUUCACACGAGGCCCAGAUCAGUCGUCACCGUGUCCGAGCGUCCCGGACAUCCGGACAGCCUGGUGUUAGGGCCUCCAGAUGGAGCGAGGGCCCCUUUCUGGGGCCUUCCUGCGGGCGCUCCUCCUGGGAGCGGCCUGAGAGCCGUGGAGAAGCCCAACAAUGUGGGAUAACCGGACAGCUGCAGGACACCCAGGAGCUCAGGGUACGAGUCCGGACACGGGGAGCUCAGAGUUUGGGGUUUUUACUCUGAGACGGCCUGGGCGGGAACACAGAGAAGUGUUCGAGUGGAAGUCAAACGGCAGGCGAUUGACUUGGUCGGACAAGGCGUGGCUGACGAUGACAGGUUGCGUUCAAAAGUGCAUUUAAUCGUGGUGCAACUCUGAACAACAGCUCAGAGUAUCGUGGUCUUAUUUAUUAUGGGUCAGUGAGGCCCGUAAUAAAUGGGCCUCACUGACUUGUUGAGGCUGUUAUGUCACCGUAGAUUCAGCACAGGAAACAAAUGGUGAAAACAUCAGAUGUGUGUGGGUGUGUAGAUGUGUG